UAUAUGAAUAUAUAAAUACUUAGAUAUAUACAUACAAACUAUUGUCUUAAGUGAUCAAAACACCUUUUAAAUUUAAUAUAGGGAAGCAACAUCAAAAGGUAUAAUUUAGCAGAGCUUCUAAAUGGAAGCUAAAGUCCCGAAUGUUCCUCUUGAUUUGGUGAUUUACGACUUCUGUUACUCUAAAUAAGUUACUUUAUUUUCUUGGAUAUUCAGUUUCUUUACUGGUAAAAUGAAAAGCAUAAUUUUUUCUUAUCAUGUGUCAGUACAGUUGUGAAAAUUUGAGAAAGUAUAAAAUAGAGGCUUUUGUGUUAUUACACAAUUUACACUGUUUAUACAUUAAAUCGACUAUUAUAAGUUCAAUAAAAACAAAUCUCCAUUUUAUCAACUAGUAAUCUUUUCACAGAUAUUAUUAGCUAAUUAAAGUGUAUGUCCACCUGGUUAUAUCUUCCCACAUACAAUAUUCGAAAUUUAAGUUACCAUCCUGACUUCUUUGAAAAUACUCACAAAUCUUUUUUCUUGAUACAUUAUAUAGAUAUUAUUGCACAUGCAUAUUAUUUAUAUUUAUAUUAUUCAUUAUUUUACCAGACAUUUAAUAGAAUUUAAAUAAACUGCAGUGCUUUGGAAAAUUUCUGUUUCUUCAGAAAACUGGAGAAACUUCUGAGAACGCUGCAUUCGUAAUAAAUUACUGAUUUUUCCUUCCCCAAGAAGAGAAAUGAAUACAUAAAGGUUUGAGGAACAUCCUUUCCAUUGGAUAAUCUUUACCUUUCUACUUGUUCUCUUCCAAGUAUUCUAAGUAGUAGGCUCUUAGACACGACCUUGACGUCAGCAAAUGAUAUUAUUCCAUGUGUGAAUAUGCUCCAGAUUCCUCUCUCUGCUAUUACAAUGUGAUUUUCUCACGUUUUAAGGCAAAGGGACAUUUUGAAUGUGCUCAGACACAUUUGCCCUAUUCAGAGGACAGAAAUUGUUGAGCUUGAGGGAAAUCUUUUUUUUCCUAUAUAGCCUGCCCAAUCCAGAAAUGUUCAGCUGCAGAUCCUGGCCUCUCCACACUUAAUUCACAAGCCCAGAAGUGCAAAUGCUUCUUUAACAAGGGAAUGCGACCCUGCUGCUAAACUGAAAUAUGAGAACAUUUCUACUCUUCUUAUAAUUUUCUAGGUUAGUUCAUAUCUAUGCCCUCAGUGUUUUUGUUUAUUUGUUUGUUUGUUUUUUGUUUUGUUGGUUUGUUUGUUUUUGAGACGGAGUCUCACUCUUUUUGCCCAUGCUGGAGUGCGGUGGCACGACCUCGGCUCACUGCAACUUCUGCCUCCCGGGUUCAAGCGAUUCUCCUGCCUCAGCCUCCCGAGUAGAGUAGCUGGGAUUAUAGGCGCCCGCCACCACACCCGACUAAUUUUUGUAUUUUUAGUAGAGACGGGGUUUCACCAUGUUGGCCCGGCUGGUCUCGAUACCUGACCUCAGGUGAUCCGGCCCGCCUCAGCCUCCCAAAGUGCCAGGAUUACAGGCGUGGGCCACUGUUGCUCAGCCGGCCCUCAGUAUUUUUAUUUCAGAUAUUUAAUAAGACAUUUUGGUUAAUUAUUCUAUAGCUAAAUAAAUUCUCCUUUAAUUUGCCCAUCACUGUUAACUUAAACAGUUUUUCUUUUCCCUUCAAUAAAUGAUAGCUUGCUUUCAUCUUUGGUCAUAUUUGGUGUUGAAGCCUGUUUUCCAUAAUAUUGAUAAAAGUGAGUAAAAUGCAGAGAUGCUGCAGGUUUAGUUUAGUUUGGCUUUAAGGAUAAGAGUAAGAGGCGGAAGGGGGUUCAAAGCUUUUCAUUUUAUGGUACUGCUUUGUAAAAUGGACCUUGCCUGUCAUGCAAUGUCAUAACGGCAUGAUUGGCCUGCUUCUAUUUUCCUAUAGACAUGGCAGGAGAAAUGAUUGAGAGCUUUUCCAGUUUGGCAUGGAAACAAAGCAAAGCAAUUUCAGUGUGGUAACAAGACUAAGGAGGAGACAGAUGCUGUGCGGGCAACAGUACCAGAGCUAAGGGAUGAGAAACUUCUCCAUAAGAUGUCCCUUUAUUGCUCCAGCAGCUAUUAUGGGCUGCGUCUCCCCAAGCAUGGCAGCUCACCACUGUGGAACCCUAAAUAGAAUGACACUCAGUGUUGAAUGGCAAGGCCUCUGGUCAUAAAUAAGAUAAGCCGAAAGACAUUUGAUGGUUAUCACAGAAAUGGACUUUCCUUACUUGGAAUUUUCCUGCCUAAACAUCCACAGGGAAAAGCUACAUGUUGGGACUUCAUAAUUCAUUUCAAGCAUUUUGUUUGCAAAUCUCAAAGCUUGAUUUUUUUUCUAAGUUUGCAGGUACUUCAAUAUUUGUAUUUCCAUUUCAGAUUUUUAAAAUUCAUUGCUUUAAAGAACUACAUCUGAAGAGCAAUGUUUAGCUCUUUAUUUAUUAUUGUAUUUUAUUUAUCUAAAGACCAAUAUGUUGCUUCCUACUGAUAACAUCAGAUGAAUAUUAUCAUGAAGUUAAAUUAACUUCUUCAACAGUGAGCUCUGUGGAAUAGAUGCACCUUUCCUUCUAGUGUGACCAUUUGAGAUGGAACAGACCAGAGGAUUUUCCAUCCCAUUACUAGAAUAUGUUUCUGUGACAAAGUUCUAGCAAGUUUUAGUCCAUAAUCCAUUUCAAGAGAAAUUCCCAUUUCUGUUUUUUUUUCAAUUAUGUCUUUUAACUUAUAUUUUCUGGAUCUUAUUCCAUUUGAGUGAAAUGUGAAUAGAUGAAGAGAUGUGGUAUCAGAGCUCAUUAAACAAAACUUUUCUGGUAACAUGUUUCAUCCUAUUUAGUUAUUUGAAUUCAGAUAAGCUUAAAGGAAAAGAACAAAACAAAGCUAUAAAGAAAAUUGGAAGUUAUUCAUUGUCAUUCGUCAUAAACAAGCUCAGAGGCUGGGAUAUUUGGCACGAUGACAAUGAAACUGCAGGAAAUUGAGCACACUCCAAUGUUGGUGAGGACGGUCCAUCCAUUCUGCAUAUGUCUGCGUCUUUGGGACUUAGAGUCUGGCAAGUAGAAGAGGGAUUUCAUCUUGUUGGAAAAUAUAAGUUGGAAAAUCAACCCACAUGAAAUUGCAGAAGCCAAGGGGGUCUCACUCUCUCAUCCAGGCUGGAGCAUGGGAGUACAAUCAUAGCUCACUGCAACCUUGAACUCCUGGGCUCAAAGGAUCCUUCCAGUUCAUCCCCCCUGAGUAGCUUGGAUUACAGGCAUACACCACCACGCCUGGCUGAGUUCUCAAUCUUAAAAUAUUGAUUUAGUUCUCAUGUAAAUGAAUUAGCUCCUGUGGUAGUGGGUUGUUAUAAAGCCAGGAUGCCCUUCGGUUUUCUCCUCUUCACACAUGUCUACUUUCCCAUUGCCAUUCUCCACCAUGUUGUGAUGUGGCAUGAAAGUCCUGUCCAGAAGCCAGGGCCAUGCCCUCGAAUUUCUCAGUCUGUGGAACCAUGAGCUAAAUAAACUUCCUUUAAAAUAAGUUUUUAGGUAUUCUGCUAUAAGCAAUACAAAAUGUACUAAUACAGCAUUGUUUUAAAUUUGUAUGAAUUUCUUUAUUGUGUGGCUUAAUAGAAAGCUAGAUUCUUAGGUUUGCUUCUCUAAACAUUCUGUUAUAAUCUUACACAUUAAACUCUGGAAAACUCUGUUGUACACUUGUGAGAGAAUGAGAGUGAAACAGAGAAAUUAGCAUCUUGGUUUAUUAUAAAAAUAGUUUGGAUCUUUUGAAACCUUUAAAGAGUCUUAGGAAACCCUGUGGUUCUCUGGCCGUGCUUUGAGAACCACUGGUAUAGGGUAAAUCCACUGCCAAGUUAAUCUUUUGUUAUGCUAUAUGUUUUAGCUUGUUUUCAUCUACUACUCUCUGAAUUUGAGCUUCAGCAUUUCAACGUACUGAUUAUGAUUUUCACUUUUUUUUUUUUUUGAGACAAAGUUUUGCUCUUGUUGCCCAGGCUGGAGUGCAGUGGCGUGAUCUCGGCUCACUGCCAACCUCCGCCUCCUGGAUUCAAGUGAUUCUCCUGCCUCAGCCUCCUAAGUAGCUGGGAUUACAGGCACAUGCCACCACGCCUGGCUAAUUUGUGUAUUUUUGGUAGAGACGGGGUAUCAGCAUGUUGGCCAGAUGGUAUCGAACUCCUUAUUUCAGGUGACCUGCCCACCUCGACCUCCCAAAGUGCUGCCCACCUUGACCUCCCAAAGUGCUGGGAUUACAGAUGUGAGCCACUGUGCCUGGUUGAUUAUGAUUUUCAAAUACUAGGUGACUCCUGCCUAGCAUUGGUAUAUUUUAUGUAUAUUAAAUGUCCAUGAAUUUUAAAAAAUUUAAAUGAAAGCACAUGACAGUCUCAAGUACUCCAACACUUGAGAAGCUACAAUAUGGUGUACAGUGCACACAAGGUGAUUUGAGCAUCAGAUAAAUUGAGACAGACAGAUAGAAAGUGUUAGAUGUAUAUGUAACUAUAAGCAUCUAUGUUUGGCUUAAUAAAAACACAAUGUUUCUUAUGUAUUGUCCUGUAAUGGAAAUUAACAGUUUAAUACUUUUCUAUUAACCAAUCUACCUGGACUCAUUUUUUUUUUUAUUUUUAAUAAUCUGCAGAGGUGGGUAUAUUGAUUAAAUUAGUAAUGGCAACACUACUCUUUCACAAUUUUGAAAAUAGUGUCUAGGUUGGAAUAGCCAACAAAAUAGUAGAUAUUUAUAAUUUUUGCAAUGCUUUUAAAUGUGUUAAUUGUUAAUACUUGUUUGACUAGUUGACUUUAUUGUGGCUGAAAUGCAGGCUCACAAGUAGUAAGAGGCACUUACUGUUUCUAAGUUCUAUUAUGGGAUGUGACGGUCCUUUAGUUUUCCCAAGGUCUGACAGGCAUGGGGGCUUUUAAUUUCACAUGGGAUGCUUACAAAUUGUCUUCUAUUUACACAUAGCUUUUGAAGUAAUUAUUUUCCUUUUUAGUGUCCAAAUCUCUCAAGCAAAGAGGCUUUUUAGUAAAAAUUGUGAUUUAAAGAGAAUAAUUGUUUCAGAAGAGUAGUGAAAAAUGUUCAAAUUGACAUUUUGAAGGAAAGCACAAACAAAAGAAAUUAAUUUUAUUUCAAGAAAAGAGAAAAAGUUUUUUCCCAUAACAUAGUACACAUUUUGGCAAAGAAAAUAGCAAGUAUGAGUACAUACAUGUGUAUGUGUGUGUGUGCCCUUUUCAAGAGAAGUUGACACUAAGAUGAUGCUUCAGAUGCCAGAGUGAAGAGGUUUCUAGUUGAAACAUUUAAUUAUUAUCCAAAUAGGGUAGAGAAACGAAGUCUAAUUUCUUUCCUGUAUUUGGAAGUGCUUGGUGUGGAUAAGAAGUCUGAGUGACAGCUGCAACUGCCAAGCAACCUCAUACAAUGGGAGUAUUCUGCCUCUCAGUUACGGAAGGAGACUCUAAGGCCUUCUCCCACAUUUGGAGGCAAGGAGUCCUUUUCUUUGGCAUCUUCCAUUAGCAGUUUUAAGAGAGUUUGUUAACCAUUUUCAAAAGUAUGUUCGUAAAGAUGGUGAAUGCUAAAGAAUGACUUAAAAUAUAUAUACAUUAACAUAGAGCAAACUAUAACAAAGUAGGGUAAAUAAAUGCAUUUUAAAUUAAUAACUUUUUCUUUUUUUCUCCUUUUUUUGAUCAGGUGCAUUUAUUCCUUUUGUUGUUGUUGUUGUUACUACUUCUGCUUUUGUUUUUGAGACAGGAUCUCAUUCUCUCACCCAGGCUGGAGUGCAGUGGCGUGAUCGCGGCUCACUGCAGCCUGGACCCCCCGGGCUCAAGUGAUCCUCCUACCUCAGGCUCUUGACUAGCUGGGACUACAGAUACAUGCCACCACACCUGGCUAAUUUUUUGUAUUUUUGGUAGAGAUGAAGUUUCACUAUGUUGCCCAGGGUGGUCUCGAACUCCCAAGCUCAAGUGGUCCACCUGCCUCGGCCUCCUAAAGUGCUGGAAUUAUAGGUUUCACUGAUGGAAAAAUUGAGAAGGAAGAUCUGAUGAAACAGCAAGUCCUUAAGAGUGGGAGCCAGAAGUUUAAGUUGUAACAGGUUUUGGAUAAGAUUCAGAACUUAGAGGAUAACGAACUGCAGAAAAAUUCUUUGGAAGAUAAUGACUAGAGAAAAAUUCUGGGUCAAAGGCAGCUAUUGUGGUGCAUAGUUAUUCAGAUUUCAAAUUUGAAAAGAAAUCAUUGUUUCAUAGGCCGAAAGGUGAGCCACUGGUAUCUGUCAUCAGCAAACAGGAAACAUGAAGAAGUACGUUUAUUCUAUAGGUUGCAACACACAGUACAAAUAUACCAUUAGAAUACCUAAAAUGCAAGAUGAAUCAGUCCCGUGAAUUGAAACUUUGAUUUUGUUCUUGAGCUAGUAAAGUUUACAGAGUUCUAUGAGGAAGGACAUCUGUAAAAUAUCUUACAAUACGUAGUCUCCUAUUUUGAGAGAAAGGGAAAGUAUCUUUGCACUGUGAAUAUACCCUUUGUGUUAUUAACUGUGAGGACAUGACAAGGCUAAACAAUUGCUUCUUUCUUGUCAAAGUUUCGUUUGCUUUGGUUAGUGCCAUUGUUUGAGAAAAUUAAACAAGUUUCCAUGUUUUAGGCUUCUUGACGUUUUUUGAUGUUCCACUUAACUGCAAUGGAAUAACUCGAUGGAACAAUUCAAGGCAGCUGUGCUCUGAUCCUCAGUUGCCCUCCAAGGAUAAGAUGACACAUUUGAUAAACACAUUUCCUUUAACACCAAGUUCUCCAGGUCAGGCAGGCAUAGCAUAUAGAUGAAACUGAUCUGAGCCUUCAUCCUGAGGGAGAAGAGGGUUAGAGAUGAAGGUAAACCUGGAUCCCGGUUUUAACCCUGCAACAUACUAGUCUCCUGAACUUGAGUAUUUGUAAGUACUGAAUCUGAGAUUAGCUUUGCCCAUGGCUUUCCACACAUUGAUAUUUGAUGGGACCUGACCCUUAAAUAAUCCCAAGUCAUAGAAAAAGAAUUUCGUGGAAUAGUCGCACAGAGCAUUUGCUUACUCAGUUCUGUUGCCCAGGAGCCCAAAUGGUAGAGGGAGGAGAAUGUGGAUUCUGGAAUUAGGAAGACUUGAGCUCGAUUUCACCUUCUACCAUUGAACAACUGCUGAGUAAUGGAUAAAGCUCACAAAAGAAGAGAAGGGACAUGCUUCACUCAGGUAGGCAAUAUUGCUUCUUUAACCCCAGGUGCAGCUAUAGAAGCUUCCAAGUAUAUUAAGGUAAGAAGGCAUUUGAGAAUGGAGUUUAUGCUGCAGGUACCCACGUCUUCCUGCAUACUCCGGAGACUAGAUUUGGGUUUGAAUCGAUUCUGUGGCUUUCUUUUACAAAUUUCACUCCAGCCUAACAUUGUCUCAACAUUGUCCUCGCCCACUACCAAUAAUUUCCACUUUAGUAACAACAUUCAACUAUUCUCGAGAAUAGCUGAGCCUCAAAUUGGGUAACACCACCUCAUAGUGUCAUAGAACUGAGAUCCCGUGACCCUACCAACCUAUAGGUGUGCAGUGCAUCAGCUGCUGCAACUUGUUACCCAACUGCUGCCUCUGGUCAAUUAACAAAAAUAAACUUCUUUCAUAAAGGCAACUUGUUGGCAAAGAUUUUCUUACUUAGUAAGUCUUUCCACCUCUGGUAUUAUAACAGAGAGGCCAAAACAAAAUUAAAAUUAAGAUUGUCAUCAGUAAGUUCUCAGGGUUAAGUACGUAUACCCCUUUUGAGUUAUCUUUAAAACAACUUAAGCCAAAUCCGCCCUUAAAAAUCAUGGUUUGAAUUAAAUCUCAUGUCUCCCAACCUGCAAUCCAUGAUGAACAAGCUGAACUACAGCCUUAAACAACAGAGAAAUCCUUGGAACCAACAUUUAAUUAAAAAGACCAUUAGACGGUGCCUCAUUGGAAACACAGAACAUGCUUAAAUGAAUUUUUCAAUAUGUAGAUAAAUGUUUUACCAUUAGGGUUUCUUAAAGGAAGUAAAAAUUGGCAACUCAUUAAGAGUGUACAUAGGUACUAUAAACAGACAACAAAGUGCCUCUGGCAUGUUUCAUGAUUUAGACAUCAAAAGAAAAAGUCAUAAAAUCUACUUGCAGUAAAACAAAGUCCAUUUUUCCUCAACAAGGCUGGUAUCUAUUAGCUACCUCAUAUGUGGAGAAAGAAAAGUUACCAGUCCUUUAAUCAGAUAUAUCUGAAAUGUUUUGGGAAUAAAUAUGAAAUAGCGAAGAGUGUAUGUAUUUGAUGUUUUCUAUUUUUUACACUAUACAAAUGAGAAUGACCUUGGUGGUUUAAAACAUUCAUCCUCUCUGUUUCUAAUAAUACCUACAAUCAGUUGUGUGUAUUAAAAGCUUUGUUAAUAAUCUACAAGUGGUAGGUGACCUCAGCUAUUUUGUUCUGUGGUUUAAAGCAUGACCAAGAUUGUGUUUUUGUUUUCCCCAUUUUACAGCUAAAAAGUAUGAUGUUAAAAAUACUGACAAAAACGAGUUGUUGCUAUAAAUAUGUGAAUCGAAUGGGAAUUUUCUGGACUUUGUUAUUAUGAACACUGCACAGAGAAAAAGCCAAUGCAUCACACCAGAAUGUCAAUGGGAUGGGGUACUGAGCCAAAGGAAAAGGGCAAAGAGCCCACUUUGGUACACCUGGAGUAGAUUACACACAUGGGGUUGAUCUUUCCCUUGAAGCCAAAAAGCUCUGGUAAUGUGCUCUCCACAGUACAUGAUAGAGCAGGGUAAAGCUGGAAAUUAAUCACCCAGUGCUACCAAGGCAGUUCAUUACAUGCAAUUGACAGCUUCCUCUCUGUAUUUUUAGAUGGCUAAGAAUCAAGUAGUUGCACAUCAAAAUGUGGUUUUUUUCUUGCUUCUUGGCACAGGACCCGUAUCUGUCAUCAUUUCAUGUCCUCAAAGGCCUGAGAGGAGCUGCCAUCCUUGGGCAACAAAGGAUGCCAUGCAAAGCAGCUCAGAACUUGAGUUGUUUCAACAGAUGCUGUUUUAUGUUUUGCCAAAGAAUGGCCCCUUUUAUUUCUGUCAUGAAUGCAGUCUUUCUUUCAGUUUCUAAAUGUUUUCCAGUAUUAACCCUAAUCCUUAUCUGUCAUUCUUUUAGGAUGAUGGGCUGUCCCUUUUCCUUUGGAACCAGCAUAACCUUCACCAUGUAAAUAUGGAUUGCAAAGAAAUGGAAACGUGGUGCUGUUCACCUUACAGCUCCUGAUGAUUUCUUACAGUGGGGGAGAGGCGGAUUGCACUUCAAGGUCAGAGUAGCUGAGCCAAGUUAUUCCAGUAUGCGCCUUAAAGGAUGUCAAAGAAUUGAUCUGGUGGAUAAAGUAAUGAGGAGACAGUGGAAGUUCUCAUGCAAAGGAAAAACAAUUGUAAAGAUACAAAGGUAUGAGUGAAAUCAUUCAUUUUUCACUGAACGCUUACUUCAUGCUGGGACCUAAGCAACAACUGUGGCGACAAUGGACUUAUUGGUAAUUUACUAUGUGCAGACACUCUCCUCACCUUUUGACAGAGAACAUUGAUUAGAUGACCAAAAGUGCCCGGCCCUUUGCCAAGUGUGAUAGAAAACAGGGAGAAGGUAUCAUCACUGUUUCACAGAUGCCUACAUUCCAAAGGAUCUCAUCAGAGCAUAAGAGCUCUUCCAGGAAGCUGCAGAGAAUCUUCAGAAUAUUAAGGAAAACUGUAAUUGGAUUGAGAUGAACCCUUUGGCCCAAAGAUUUUAUCUGUCAGGUUAACAUAUGUGUUUCUAUGCCUGACUCUCAACCUUGGACCUGUACCUCUGCAAUCACUUGGCCCUGGAUGGAUGAGGGAGGGUGGCAUGUGAAUAGAAACUGGACCACGGAGACCACCAAGGAAUGAUGUGCCCUCGAGCAAGAGUCUCGCUCUAUUGCCCAGGUUGGAGUGCAGUGGCGUGAUCUCGGCUCCCUGCAGCCUCCGCCUACCGGCUUCAAGUGAUUCUCCUGCCUCAGCCUCCUGACUUUUUCUUUUUCUUUUCUUUCUUUCUUUCUUUUUUUUUUUUACAGUGGAUCCUGCAUUAGAAAACCACCAACUUAUUGUAACUUUUAAUUAAUUAUAAAAAGAUAACUUUGUCAUUGUUCAAUCUUAUAAAACAAUGAAACCAAGUAUAAACUAUUUAAGUAAAUUGCAUUUAUGGGAUUUCUCUUUUCAGAAUUGACUGUGGCUCCAUGGUUUGUUGUAAUUAAUUAAACCAUGUUCAUUUGGAGUUUUGAUCAAAUUAGCUAAAUAUAUUUAUUUUAUUCUAUAUUUGACCAAAAGUUUGUUAGUAUUAGCAUCAUCUAGAUUUUAGAGACAGUAAUAAAAACUGGUAAAAAUACUAAGUGGGAAAGUGUACUGCUGUAGCUUAUCAAUGUUAGAGCUUGAAAAUACCUAAAAAAUUGAACGCAAACAAGUAAACAAACAGAAAGAAAAAGCAAAAGCGCUAAAUCGAGACGUAUGCAUACAAGCAGUAUAAAUUACCAGAAAAAACACUAGGUCAAGGUAAGGGGGGCAUGAAUUCCUAUUCCAGCUUUGGAAUUCCCAUGUGGAUUUAGGUGAACUGCCCCUAAGCCUCAGUGCCCUUUAUUCAUAAAUAGAUUUAAUUGGGCCAAAACAAUUCUGUAGGAAGUACCAAUAGAAGGGAGUGUAUGUCCUGUGCACAUUUAAUUUUGAACUAUAGAAGCUCUAUUUUUGUAUGUUUUAUAUAUUCCUGUCUUGUGUACAGUUCAGUUUGGAGUAAAGUAAGUGUUCUCUGUUUAAGACUAUUAAUGUAUACAUAUUCCUCUCUAAGUAAUCACUGAGACAGGCUGGCCUCCUCUAAUACAUGAUUUAGGAUACUCAUCGUGUAGAGAAAUCCUCGUAUCUGGAAUAAUGUGGAGAAUAAGAGUAUGAAUAGUGAAAAUGAUUCAUUUAGUCAAAUAUUUAUUGGUAUCUACUAUAUGAUAGAAAACUGAGGUCAUAAAACAGCAAAUCUUAAAAGGAAGUUCUGGAUUGGAGUUAGGAAACCUAGAAUUCAGUUGGGUCUAACCACACUAGCCCUGUCACCUCAACAAGUCCAAUUUCUAGAGUUAGCUUAUAAUCUGAUUUUCUGAACAUAUACCUUGUCAAAUGUUGCUUUGGUUUCUAAAUAUCCACCUACUCAUUCCCUCUUAUGGCACCCCAAAUAUACUAAAACUUCCUUCCUUUUUUUUUUUUUUUUCUGAGCCAGAGUCUCGCUCUUUGCCCAGGCUAGAAUGCAGUGGCGUGAUUAUGACUCACUGUCACUUUUGAUCCUGGGCUCAAGCGAUCCUCCCACCUUGGCCUCCCAAAGUGUUGGAUUUUCAGGUGUGUGCCACCAAGCCUGGCCUCAGACUUACUUCUGAUAAUGUAACUCUGACUAUACUAAUUCGAUUUAAUUACUGUAUGAUUUUAGGUUUUAGUUUUCUAAAAACUCCUUUCCAGCAAAUUUUUUACUCCUCACUUGUGUUCGUUGCGUCUAUCAUUAAGGUAUUAUUGCUUUACUCCUAACAUGAGAAGCUCUCAGCUCCUUUAAAACACAACUUUGGGAGGGAAAUGCUUGCAUCCACUUGCAUCUACUUUUCCAUGAAUUACUUGAACAAGUAUUUGUCCAUGGCAGGAGGGAUUGAGCAUGGUGGGAUGGAUUUGCAGAGUGUCUAUUAAUAACAGUGAUGAAGGGACGAAAAGCGAAAAAGAGACUGACAAGUAAUGAUCACAAAAAGAGAAAAGAGAAAUUUCCAAGUAGAAAUACAACACAUGUUUCCUGACCUUCACAGAGGAAUUUAAGUUUAUGUCAUUAUAAAGCUCUGAAGAUAUUUCAAUGAUUAUGUUGGACAAAAUGGAGCUCUUAAAUAAUCAUACAGGUAUGUAGCAGUUGAUACUUAACAUUAAUAUAGUAUUAUAGAGUAUUAUAAAAGUUCAAAGCCUGAGGUCAUCUUUGCUAGAUGAUUUCUAUGUCAAUGAAAACUCAAAUGUAUAAGCCAAAAAGAUUGCAUGCACUGAGCUAUCAUCCUUCUCACAUUCUUAUAUUUAUAAAAACUUGUGCUAAAAUUUCAUUAUCACCAAUGUUUCUAUCCUAAUAAAAGAAAAAUAACACACACUAGAAAGAUACCCAUGCCAGUCAGUGGACAGGAAUACACUACGCAAUUUCAGGUCUCUAAGACCACAGAUCAAAAUACAUUACCCCACUUAAGGCAGACAACGGCAGGAGGACCUGACCUGGCCUGUGGUCCUAUCUACUCCCUUUUCUGUAGGUUUUUGUUCAUUCUAAAUAUAAGUGAUCAGUUCUUACAAGUUUAUAUUCAAAUAAGGGUUCAGAAGUAAAUGCAUCUAUUCAUUCAGUCAAGUAAAGUAAUCCAAUUUUCCUAGUGUAUGCACAUGUGUUAGUGGUUUGCUAAUAUAUAUAUAUAUAUUUUCUUUUUUAGAAAUACAUGUGCUGUGGCUUCAAGGGUGGAAAA